rnacentral:precursor_RNA from 1 species
CCUGGGAGCGUGACUGCAGAGCCCAAGGGACAACUGCUUGAGGCCUGUCAGGCACGGCCUUUU